rnacentral:tRNA from 1 species
GGAGGUAUAGCUCAAGGGGUAGAGUUUGUGCUUAGCACGCAGGAGGUCCUGGGUUCAAUCCCCAGUGCCUCAA